AGGGACAUAGUUCAACGGCAGAAUAGCGGUCUCCAAAACCUUAGAUGUGGGUUCGAUUCCUACUGUCCCUGCCA
rnacentral:tRNA from 1 species